AUUGAACGCUGGCGGCAUGCUUUACACAUGCAAGUCGAACGGUAACAGGCCUUCGGGUGCUGACGAGUGGCGAACGGGUGAGUAAUGCAUCGGAACGUACCCAGAGGUGGGGGAUAACGCAGCGAAAGCUGUGCUAAUACCGCAUGUGAUCUGAGGAUGAAAGCGGGGGACCGAGCAGCAAUGUUUGGCCUCGCGCCUUUGGAGCGGCCGAUGUCGGAUUAGCUAGUUGGUGGGGUAAAGGCCUACCAAGGCGACGAUCCGUAGCUGGUCUGAGAGGACGACCAGCCACACUGGAACUGAGACACGGCCCAGACUCCUACGGGAGGCAGCAGUAGGGAAUUUUGCACAAUGGGCGAAAGCCUGACCCAGCAAUGCCGCGUGCGGGAAGAAGGCCUUCGGGUUGUAAACCGCUUUUGGCAGGAACGAAACGGUGUCCGCUAAUACCGGGCGCUAAUGACGGUACCUGAAGAAUAAGCACCGGCUAACUACGUG
rnacentral:rRNA from 1 species